AACCCAUGAUUUGAGCAUUUUCUCAAUAUCAUCUUGAAUCUUUCCCAUGUCUCACUGAAGACUUCAUUUGCUCCUUGUUUGAUUAUAGAGAUUUGAGAUUGUGCUU
rnacentral:snoRNA from 1 species